UACGUAGGGUGCGAGCGUUGUCCGGAAUUAUUGGGCGUAAAGAGCUCGUAGGCGGUCUGUCGCGUCGGAUGUGAAAACCCAGGGCUUAACCCUGGGCCUGCAUUCGAUACGGGCAGGCUAGAGUUCGGUAGGGGAGACUGGAAUUCCUGGUGUAGCGGUGAAAUGCGCAGAUAUCAGGAGGAACACCGGUGGCGAAGGCGGGUCUCUAGGCCGACACUGACGCUGAGGAGCGAAAGCGUGGGGAGCGAACAGG
rnacentral:rRNA from 1 species